rnacentral:rRNA from 1 species
AUUGAAAGGUGCUUGCAUCUUGAUUUAAUUUUGAACGAGUGGCGGACGGGUGAGUAACACGUGGGUAACCUGCCCUUAAGUGGGGGAUAACAUUUGGAAACAGAUGCUAAUACCGCAUAAAUCCAAGAACCGCAUGGUUCUUGGCUGAAAGAUGGCGUAAGCUAUCGCUUUUGGAUGGACCCGCGGCGUAUUAGCUAGUUGGUGAGGUAACGGCUCACCAAGGCAAUGAUACGUAGCCGAACUGAGAGGUUGAUCGGCCACAUUGGGACUGAGACACGGCCCAAACUCCUACGGGAGGCAGCAGUAGGGAAUCUUCCACAAUGGACGCAAGUCUGAUGGAGCAACGCCGCGUGAGUGAAGAAGGCUUUCGGGUCGUAAAACUCUGUUGUUGGAGAAGAAUGGUCGGCAGAGUAACUGUUGUCGGCGUGACGGUAUCCAACCAGAAAGCCACGGCUAACUACGUGCCAGCAGCCGCGGUAAUACGUAGGUGGCAAGCGUUAUCCGGAUUUAUUGGGCGUAAAGCGAGCGCAGGCGGUUUCUUAAGUCUGAUGUGAAAGCCCCCGGCUCAACCGGGGAGGGUCAUUGGAAACUGGGAGACUUGAGUGCAGAAGAGGAGAGUGGAAUUCCAUGUGUAGCGGUGAAAUGCGUAGAUAUAUGGAGGAACACCAGUGGCGAAGGC